rnacentral:rRNA from 1 species
CAACAGGGAUUGCCCCAGUAACGGCGAGUGAAGCGGCAACAGCUCAAAUUUGAAAUCUGGCUCUCGGGCCCGAGUUGUAAUUUGUAGAGGAUGCUUUUGGUGAGGUGCCUUCCGAGUUCCCUGGAACGGGACGCCAUAGAGGGUGAGAGCCCCGUCUGGUUGGACGCCGAACCUCUGUAAAGCUCCUUCGACGAGUCGAGUAGUUUGGGAAUGCUGCUCUAAAUGGGAGGUAUAUGUCUUCUAAAGCUAAAUACCGGCCAGAGACCGAUAGCGCACAAGUAGAGUGAUCGAAAGAUGAAAAGAACUUUGAAAAGAGAGUUAAACAGUACGUGAAAUUGUUGAAAGGGAAGCGCUUGUGACCAGACUUGGGCUUGGUUGAUCAUCCGGGGUUCUCCCCGGUGCACUCUUCCGGCCCAGGCCAGCAUCAGUUCGCCCUGGGGGAUAAAGGCAUCGGGAACGUGGCUCUCUCCGGGGAGUGUUAU